AGGUAGUCUGUACGAGCGCACCCUGUCGUGUGUUAUACGUGUCACACGAGACUGCCGGUGUCAAACCGGAGGAAGGCGGGGAUGACGUCAAGUCAGCAUGUCCUUCAUAUCCUGGGCUACACACACGCUACAAUGGUCGGGACAACAGGUUGCCAAGCCGCGAGGCGGAGCUAAUCCUCUAAACCCGAUCUCAGUUCGGAUUGUAGGCUGCAACUCGCCUGCAUGAAGCCGGAGUUGCUAGUAACCGCGCGUCAGCAACAGUGCGGUGAAUACGUUCCCGGGUCUUGUACACACCGCCCGUCAAGCUAGGAAAGCCGGAUAUACCUGAAGUCGUGUACCUAACCCGCAAGGGAAGGAAGCGCCUAAGGUAGAGUUGGCGAUUCGAGCUAAGUCGUAACAAGGUAGCCGUACCGGAAGGUGCGGCUGGAUCACCUCCUUUCU
rnacentral:rRNA from 1 species